UACGUAGGGUGCGAGCAUUGUCCGGAAUUAUUGGGCGUAAAGAGCUUGUAGGCGGUCUGUCGCGUCUGCUGUGAAAAUCCGGGGCUCAACCCCGGACUUGCAGUGGGUACGGGCAGACUAGAGUGUGGUAGGGGAGACUGGAAUUCCUGGUGUAGCGGUGAAAUGCGCAGAUAUCAGGAGGAACACCGGUGGCGAAGGCGGGUCUCUGGGCCGAUACUGACGCUGAGGAGCGAAAGCGUGGGGAGCGAACAGG
rnacentral:rRNA from 1 species